rnacentral:rRNA from 1 species
GACGAACGCUGGCGGCGUGCCUAAUACAUGCAAGUCGAGCGGACAGAAGGGAGCUUGCUCCCGGAAGUUAGCGGCGGACGGGUGAGUAACACGUGGGCAACCUACCCUGUAGAUCGGGAUAACAUCGAGAAAUCGGUGCUAAUACCGGAUAAUCAUUUGAAGUGCAUGCUUAGAAUGUAAAAGUUGGCUCCGGCUAUCACUACGGGAUGGGCCCGCGGCGCAUUAGCUGGUUGGUAAGGUAAUGGCUUACCAAGGCAGCGAUGCGUAGCCGACCUGAGAGGGUGAUCGGCCACACUGGGACUGAGACACGGCCCAGACUCCUACGGGAGGCAGCAGUAGGGAAUCUUCCGCAAUGGACGAAAGUCUGACGGAGCAACGCCGCGUGAGUGAUGAAGGUUUUCGGAUCGUAAAGCUCUGUUGUUAGGGAAGAACAAGUGCCGUUUGAAUAAGGCGGCACCUUGACGGUACCUAACCAGAAAGCCACGGCUAACUACGUGCCAGCAGCCGCGGUAAAAC